rnacentral:rRNA from 1 species
UACGUAGGCAGCGAGCGUUGUUCGGAAUUACUGGGCGUAAAGAGUGUGUAGGCGGUGCUCCCAGUCUGUUGUGAAAUCUCCCGGCUUAACUGGGAGGGUGCAGCGGAAACUAGAGUGCUAGAGGGUGGGAGAGGUAAGCGGAAUUCCUGGUGUAGCGGUGAAAUGCGUAGAUAUCAGGAGGAACACCUGUGGUGUAGACAGCUUACUGGACCACUUCUGACGCUGAGACACGAAAGCGUGGGGGAGCGAACAGG